GACGAACGCUGGCGGCAGGCCUAACACAUGCAAGUCGAGCGCGCGGCGGACGGGUGAGUAAUGUAUGGGGACUGCCCGAUAGAGGGGGAUAACUACUGGAAACGGUGGCUAUUACCGCAUACUGUAGGAUAACCCAUAUGGGAUUAGCUCGUAGGUAAGGUAAAGGCUUACCUAGGCGACGAUCCCUAGCUGGUCUGAGAGGAUGAUCAGCCACACUGGAACUGAGACACGGCCCAGACUCCUACGGAGGCAGCAGUGGGGAAUAUUGCACAAUGGGCGCAAGCCUGAUGCAGCCAUGCCGCGUGUAUGAAGAAGGCCCUAGUGUUGUAAAGUACUUUCAGUCGGGAGGCGUUACCGACAGAAGAAGCACCGGCUAACUCCGUGCCAGCAGCCGCGGUAAUUC
rnacentral:rRNA from 1 species